rnacentral:misc_RNA from 1 species
GAAAUGCGAUACGUAGUGUGAAUUGCAGAAUUCAGUGAAUCAUCGAAUCUUUGAACGCACAUUGCGCCCUUUGGUAUUCCAAAGGGCAUGCCUGUUCGAGCGUCAUUUGUACCCUCAAGCUUUGCUUGGUGUUGGCGUCUUUUGUCUUUGGCCUCGCCCAAAGACUCGCCUUAAAACGAUUGGCAGCCGGCCUACUGGUUUCGCAGCGCAGCACAUUUUUGCGCUUGCAAUCAGCACAAGGACGGCAAUCCAUCAAGACUACAUUUUUACGUUUGACCUCGGAUCAGGUAGGGAUACCCGCUGAACUUAAGC